CUUGGGUGUAAAGGCCGGGUAAAUGCAUUAUCCUAGUCCACGGUUGAGGGGAUGGUGGCAGGUGGUGACAGCCCUGUCCGUCCUUGGCAUUCCCCCACGUUCGGCUAGGGUGUAGGAGUCUAAAUAGUUGCGGAGGUUGCUGACAGACCAGUACUUGCGUAACCUCCCAAACCAUCUCAACACAGGACUAGAUCUAAGUAGUAUAAUUACAUGAUUAACUUGUUCUAUGACAUGAUCUGUAUCUAGGACCACACCUGCUCCAAUAGGUUGUUUGUUUAUUCUUUGAUUCAAUUCAUUCUUUUAGUCUCUUUUUAUUCCUUAGCCCAUAUGCCAUGCCUAGAUUGUGAUGGAUCACUAUUCUACAUAUAAAUGUUUAUCACCUGCUAUGACUUUUGAUUCCAUUAUUGCUAUCAUAAUUACUUUGAUCUAUGCUUAUAUUAGAAUCCUUAACAUAUUAAGCCUUCCUUAGAGCGAACCUAUAAAUACGACACUCGGUAAAUCCCCGGGUUGAAAUGCUACACGAUAAUUCCCGUCCGCUUGCGGUACUUAAACUCAAACCUAAGGAACUAUCACCCCGGUAUAUACUUAACACUGUUGCUAGACAUGCGCCGAGCUAGUGACUUGUUAAGGAAUACCAACAUGGCAAUCCUAGUGCCACUACCAUGAUUAAGAAUUGGAACCCUACCCUAACGGUAAUAAGGCGCC
rnacentral:lncRNA from 1 species